rnacentral:ncRNA from 1 species
AAAAGACUUAGUCCUAACCUUACUGUUGGUUUUUGCUAGAGAUAUACAUGCAAGUAUCCGCAUUCCAGUGAAGAUGCCCUAGGCACCCUUUAACCAAGUCGAUAGGAGCAGGUAUCAGGCACACUUAUAUUAGUAGCCCAAGACGCCUAGCAUUUGCCACGCCCCCACGGGUACUCAGCAGUAGUUAACAUUAAGCAAUGAGUGUAAACUUGACUUAGUCAUAGCAAAUUUAAGGGACGGUAAAUCCUGUGCCAGCCACCGCGGUCAUACAGGAGGCCCAAAUCAACAUUACUGUGACGGCGUAAAGUGUGGUAACAUGAUAUCCAAGUAACUAAGAUUAAAAUGCAACUGAGCUGUAAUAAGCCCAAGAUGCCCAUAAGGCCACCUACCAAAGAAGAUCUUAGUCUAACGAUUGAUUGAAAUCCACGAAAGCCAGGGCCCAAACUGGGAUUAGAUACCCCACUAUGCCUGGCCCUAAAUCUUGAUUCUAAUAACCUACCCAAGAAUCCGCCCGAGAACUACGAGCACAAACGCUUAAAACUCUAAGGACUUGGCGGUGUCUCAAACCCACCUAGAGGAGCCUGUUCUAUAAUCGAUAAUCCACGAUCUACCUAACCAUUCCUAGCUCGAAUUUCAGCCUACAUACCGCCGUCUCCAGCUCACCCCCCCUGAUGGCCCAACAGUGAGCACAAUAGUCCACCAACACUAACAAGACAGGUCAAGGUAUAGCCCAUGGAAUGGGAGCAAUGGGCUACAUUUUCUAAUUUAGAACAUCACGGCAAAGGGGCAUGAAACAGCCCCUCGAAGGCGGAUUUAGCAGUAAAGUGGGAUAAUCAAGCCCUCUUUAAGCCGGCUCUGGGACACGUACAUACCGCCCGUCACCCUCCUCGCAGGCGACCAAAAUUUAUUACAUUAAUAAGCUAUCUAGCUGAAGAGGAGGUAAGUCGUAACAAGGUAAGUGUACCGGAAGGUGCACUUAGACAACC